AUUGAACGCUGACGGCAGGCUUAACACAUGCAAGUCGAGCGAGCGGCGGACGGGUGAGUAAUGUCUGGGAAACUGCCUGAUGGAGGGGGAUAACUACUGGAAACGGUAGCUAAUACCGCAUACCAUCAGAUGUGCCCAGAUGGGAUUAGCUAGUAGGUGGGGUAAGGGCUCACCUAGGCGACGAUCCCUAGCUGGUCUGAGAGGUUGACCAGCCACACGGUAACGGAUACACUGUGCAGACUCAUACGGGAGGCAGCAGUGGGGAAUAUGGCACAAUGGGGGCAAGCCUGAUGCAGCCAUGCCGCGUGUGUGAAGAAGGCCUUCGGGUUGUAAAGCACUUUCAGCGAGGAGUCGUUACUCGCAGAAGAAGCACCGGCUAACGCCGUGUCAGCAGCCGCGGUAAUAC
rnacentral:rRNA from 1 species